rnacentral:tRNA from 10 species
CGGGGUGUGGCUCAGCUUGGCUAGAGCGCCUGGUUUGGGACCAGGAGGUCGCAGGUUCGAAUCCUGUCACCCCGACUA